CCUACGGGAGGCUGCAGUGAGGAAUAUUGGUCAAUGGACGAGAGUCUGAACCAGCCAAGUAGCGUGAAGGAUGACUGCCCUAUGGGUUGUAAACUUCUUUUAUAUGGGAAUAAAAUGUUCCACGUGUGGGAUUUUGUAUGUACCAUAUGAAUAAGGAUCGGCUAACUCCGUGCCAGCAGCCGCGGUAAUACGGAGGAUCCGAGCGUUAUCCGGAUUUAUUGGGUUUAAAGGGAGCGUAGGUGGAUUGUUAAGUCAGUUGUGAAAGUUUGCGGCGCAACCGUAAAAUUGCAGUUGAAACUGGCAGUCUUGAGUACAGUAGAGGUGGGCGGAAUUCGUGGUGUAGCGGUGAAAUGCUUAGAUAUCACGAAGAACUCCGAUUGCGAAGGCAGUUCACUGGACUGCAACUGACACUGAGGCUCGAAAGUGUGGGUAUCAAACAGGAUUAGAUACCCUAGUAGUC
rnacentral:rRNA from 1 species